AGUAAAAAGUAAAACUCCCUCACCCUCUCACCCCAUGAAACCUAGCAUUGUAGAUCCGCCACCCACCCCUCGUCUCCCACAUCGCCGCCGCCACCCCGAUCCCUUCCCUCGUCUCCCACAUCGCCGAUCGACCGACGCUCUCGCGACCUCGAUCCCGAUCCUAGCCCCGCCUAGCUCCUCCUUUGGUUGCGUUUGGCUUAUAGCCGAGGCGGAGCCGCAGAGGAGGCGGUGCUGCAUUGCUUUGCUUCGCUUCGCGGGAGGGAGGGAAAGUCGGCCAACCUUCUCGCUGCUGGCGUCGGCGUCGGCGUCGUUCGCGUCUCCGCUGCCCGCAGCUGCAGUCACCGCCGCCCCCUCGCUCCUCCUCUCCGGCGAGCUCGGCGACUCCCUCGCCGCGGAAUCCGCCGCUCCUCCCGCUUCAGCACGCCCGCGGGUGCAGGGCGCCAAGGAGAAGCAGCUCAAGGUCAAGGGCCUCGAUUUGGGCUGAUUUACUGAUUUGGUUUCCUCUGCUGGUGCUGCUUGUUCCUGAAGGCGCUGGCCAAGGAGCUGGUGCAGUCCAGGAAGGAGGUCAACCACCUCUACGAGAACAAGGCCUAGCUCAACUCCAUCUCCAUGCACCUCGGCAAGAUCGUCGGUCGGGUUGUCGCAGGUUCCAUGGAGCCUCCUUCCCUCGUCAAGCUCGGCGCCAAGAGCGAGGAGCUGCUCUUCGCCUCGCCUCGCCUCGCACAAGCAACGUUGUCUGGUUGCAAGAAAAUAUUCCUGUCUACUCUUUCACUAGUGUCGACCCUUGCUUUCGUUAUUAAUAAUUCACGCAUGCUCCACAACUAAUACUGAAGAUGCAUUUCCAUCCCAUCUAGUAGGUGCUAACUCGAUGCAAACAAAUAAAAUAAAAUUAGUAGGUGUUGACUAAUGUGAUGUUGAACGAUGCUAGCUGCUGUACCAAUGUGAUGUUGCUUGCUUGAUUGAUGACUUGUUGUCAUUAACUAGAAAAAGGAAGAAAACCUUGUCAAUUUAUUUGAGGAAAAUCAUGUAUCCCAUUCAUUAGACAACCAGUACUACUACUUGUAUUUGCAUGUUUGCUUGCUUGCUUGCUUGUAGCACUAUCAAGUGUGAGGAAAUCCAGUACUAGGAUGUGUGGAGCUGGGACGCUGUUGGAUCAUUAGCACUUGUAACACUAUCAAGUUUGUACUGAUUGCAGAUAGAAAACUUUGUAAUUUUGUUUCCGUAAGAUAAACUUUGUGAUUUAAUUUCUGGAAGCUAAACAUUGUAAGUCUAUUAAGAAACUUGAGCAAAAUCAGUCCACAAGUUAGUUGAAGUCACAAGUAAGUCUAUUAAUAACUUAGCACUGGUCAAGUUAGUUGAAGUCACAAGUGCUAAGUCUAUCGACUUAGUUUUUUGCUGGAAGUCAAAUCUCCUAAACACUAGAAUGCCUGAAAUGUCAGGAUAGCAAGUACUAGCCCUGUGCUUCAUUCUAUGUACCGUUUUGGUGUCUGUGCAUGUAUGGGCUAGCUUUUUGUGUAGAAUAGUGAGUUGAUGCUUCUUUCUACAGAAAUACAAAAUGUUAGCUCUAUGGUGAUUUAUGUACCUGCAACUUCUUCCAGCUCUAACUUGGUUAUAUAACAGUUCAAUUCAGUUAAUCUUUCGGGUGUUAAUACACUACUGUGCAAGUUCUAUGGUAUGUGAGUUCCUUCUAUUGUUGCAAGCAUUGACACAAUAUGUCAUGUGCAGGGAGCUCCGCAUCCGAGUCUCGUCCAUCGUCGGUAGCAAGGAGUUGGGCCAACGGGGCAAGCAGUGCUGCUAGUUACUUGGUGCACCAUCGCGUGUGGCGGCCUAUUUUGCUUCCAGGACCUGUAUUGUUUAUUUGAAAUUGAAAGAUGUACUCGGCUACUGCCUAGUAAAAAAUUGAAUGAUUGUCAUGUACAGUAUAUGAUGUAGUGAGCUGUAGGAGUGAAAUGAAAUUUUAUCUACUUU